rnacentral:rRNA from 1 species
UACGUAGGGGGCUAGCGUUGUCCGGAAUCAUUGGGCGUAAAGAGCGCGUAGGCGGCUGGAAUAGUCCGGUGUGAAAUCCACAGGCUUAACCUGUGAAUGCCGCUGGAAACUGUCUGGCUAGAGUCCGGAAGGGGCGAGUGGAAUUCCUGGUGUAGCGGUGAAAUGCGCAGAUAUCGGGAAGAACACCCGUGGCGAAGGCG